UACGAAGGGUGCAAGCGUUACUCGGAAUUACUGGGCGUAAAGCGUGCGUAGGCGGUUGUUUAAGUCUGAUGUGAAAUCCCCGGGCUCAACCUGGGAAUGGCAUUGGAUACUGGACGGCUAGAGUGAGGUAGAGGGUGGUGGAAUUCCCGGUGUAGCGGUGAAAUGCGUAGAGAUCGGGAGGAACAUCUGUGGCGAAGGCGGCCACCUGGACCAUCACUGACGCUGAGGCACGAAAGCGUGGGGAGCAAACAGG
rnacentral:rRNA from 1 species